UGGGACCUUUAAGUAAUAACAUGAAGGGCUUUUUGGUGUGUGGGGAAAGUUUCCUGCAGGUUGGUGUGGUGGGAAGGACUGAGGGAACUCAUUGCCUCAGUAUUUCUAAAAUUCUUGCUGCAGCCCUGAAAAGACUGCAAAAUGCAGAAAAAAAGAUCACUUAUUAUUACCACCUAUACAGCAUGUUGACUGACCAGCAACACACAAACACACACACACGUGCAUGAACCCUGCAGGGUUGGACACACCUUCAUCAGCUGCAGCAGCUGAAGCUGCAGCGUCUCUGUUUCCUCUGCUGUCAGCGGAGGGCGACAGAGGGAGGUGUUCCCCCUUUUCCCGGUUCUCAAGAUUUCCCUCAGUCUACAAUAAACUUUCAUUUUGGGGGAAGUCGACACACACACAUACAUACAUGCAGCAUACACACACACACACACACACACACACACACAACGGCGGUCGUCAUCUUGUCCUGCAACUGAAAGCUGCACAAAACCUGACUGGACGUUCAUUGUGCGAAAUUAAGGAGGAAGGAAACAAACAAACACAAGGAAGCGCACAGGUGGAGCGUCUCAUCUUCUGGAAGGACACUACUGGGACAAGAAGAGACAAGAAGAGACAAGAAGACAAUGACAGAAAGAAGCAGCGUUUUCACUGCAGGCUAAUGUUGCGUUUGUGGGUUGUUUGCUUUCUCUAAAACGUUCAACUCCUCGAGGAGCACCUGGUUAUGGAAAAACUUUCUCUGCCUCGUCUCUGGACUUGUAGUAGUAAAAACUCCUAAAGAAAGCAUGAAGUAACCGCGAUGGAGCCGGACAAUGCCCCGUACUCCAAACUGAAAAGCACUGGAGUCGGGGGGAGAGUUCUGAUUCUUUGGGCUAUACUCUGUUGCACCUGCUCUUUAAAGCUCGCACAAGCACAAGAUGUGGAUGUUCUGCAGCAGCUCGGGCUUUCUGGGCGAAGAUCAGGCGGGUCGGCAUCUUCAGGCGCUCGAUCCAUCCCUAAUGGCAUCAUCCCCUUCAAGUCUGGAGUUAUCCUCACCCCGAGGGCACGCGUCCAGGUGCCUCUGCGCACUGUUAUCCCCGCUACCUACAGCUCCACCAAUCUCUCCCUGAUCCUCAGCCUGUCUGUUCACCGCGUCAACAGCGCCUUUCUCUUCUCAGUGCUGUCUAAGAAAAGGAAAGUGCAGCUCGGAGUGCAGUUCGCACCGGGGUCGAUCCUGGUCCAUGUGGGACCGAGGAGCUCUGUGAGCUUCGACUAUGAUGUCCACGAUGGCCAGUGGCACAGUCUGGCCUUGGAUAUCCAAGGCCACCGGGUGUUCUUACACACUUCUUGCGGAGAGAGAAGUGUACAUGCAGAUUUGCAUUCAAAAAAAGAGGAGGCCCUGGACGCAGAGGGCUCCUUCCUGCUGGGCAAAAUGAACCACAACUCGGUGCCGUUUGAAGGCGCCAUUUGUCAGUUUGACAUUUAUCCCUCUGCCAAGGCAGCUCAUAACUAUUGUGAUUACAUUAAGAAACAUUGCAGAGAAGCCGACACGUAUCGGCCCGUGUUUCCAGCCCUGCUACCUCUACUUUCCAUAGACCCAAACAUCACUGUCACUCAUAUAACUCCACUGUCUUUGACAGAGAUAUCCAAAAAGGCCCAGAGACCUGCUUUGGCCUCGACUGAGGAAAACACCAGGACUACGAUUCUUGUUCCAACUGACAGCUCGCUGAUGCAGAACAAAACAUCUGUGUAUCAGACUGUGAGCACUCCAAAACCUGACGCUGUGGCUGUUUCUCCGCCGCUUCAUCCGGGCUGGGAAAGUCUGUUUAGUUUUCUGACUCAAACUGCUUCUACAUCUCUUAGGAUCAGCAGGACGCAACCAAAACCCAAACCAACUUCACAUGGCAGUGCUGGAGGGAACACAAAGAAAGGAGAUACUAAUUCUCAGAAACCUUCUGGUGAAAGAAUGGAUUUACCUGCUUCGACCCGACCGUCCGAGAUGCAGCCAAACCUCCACACCACAGCUGCGUCCACGCAGGGGGCUCCUUCAAACGUCGACCUCCAGCAGAAACAGCAGUUGACCACAGUAGCUCCAAAGAAACCUGAGCCAAAGGUGACCAGCGUGCAGGAUGUCAAACCCACCUCACUUAUUCCAGUCACUCCAGCUGCAACAGAUGGCUUUCAAACAUUUGACCUGGAACCGACCCAGUUCUCACUGCUGGCUGGACCACCUGGACUAAAGGGAGAACCAGGACCGCCGGGCCUUCAAGGACUUCCAGGGUUGCCAGGAAAGCCAGGAAAGAGGGGCCCAAGGGGUCCUCCCGGCCCACAUGGAAACCCUGGUCGUUCCGGACCUCCUGGAGUGAAGGGACAAAAAGGAGAUUAUGGACUGUCACCUGGUCAAGCCCCAAAAGGACUAAAAGGUGAGCCUGGUGUCACGGGCCCCCCCGGACUGCAUGGCCAAGAUGGACGAAAGGGACAAAAAGGUCAUCCUGGUCCUUCUGGUCUCCCGGGUGAACCUGGUGAACGGGGAGAUGAUGGAAGCCUCGGGGCCAAAGGCUAUCCUGGCAGGCAGGGUUUACCCGGACCUGUAGGGAAAAUGGGGCCAAAAGGAGUCAGGGGUCACAUUGGCAUCCCUGGGCUUUUUGGCCUUCUUGGUCCUGAUGGCGAGAGAGGAAUUCCUGGCGUUCAUGGGAAGAAGGGCAAGAUGGGUAGGCCGGGGUUUCCUGGUGACUUUGGAGAGAGGGGACCUCCUGGCCCUGAUGGGAACCCAGGUGAGCUGGGAUCUCCUGGUCCGUGUGGAGUCUCUGGUCUUAUUGGAGACAUGGGCCCUAUUGGCAUUAUGGGCUUCCCAGGACCUCCAGGACUCAAGGGAGUACCUGGAAACCCAGGGGAACCAGGACUGAAAGGUGAUAAGGGGGACGUUGGCUUACCAGGGGAGCCGGGGGAGAGUGGAUUCCAAGGGGACAAGGGUAUGCGUGGCUCACCUGGGUUGCCAGGUCCUUGUGGAAUACCUGGGCCACAGGGCAAACCUGGUGAGCUGGGUCCUGAUGGUAUACCUGGUCCUCCUGGCCCAGAGGGUUUUCCAGGUGACAUUGGCCCACCAGGACUAAACGGCCCCGAAGGACCCAAGGGAAAGCAGGGGACAAGAGGGUUGCCAGGUCCAAGGGGAACACCUGGACUUCAGGGUGAUGAGGGACCAUUUGGGCCCGCUGGACUCGCUGGACUCGAGGGCAGACCUGGGAGGCAGGGGUUCCCUGGACUGACAGGCCCAGAUGGACUCAAGGGCGAGACCGGGAUAACUGGCGAGGUUGGAAAGCUUGGCGAGAGGGGACUGCCUGGUUUUGUCGGGCCUGUUGGAGAGAGCGGCAUCGCGGGAGAAAAGGGGGAUCGAGGCAAAACAGGCGCCCCCGGGCCGCCAGGUGAAACGGGGCCGAUGGGUCACACUGGAAUACCUGGAGCGUCGGGGCCACCUGGACUGCAAGGGAUCCCAGGGCCUCCUGGUUCACUGGGAUCCAUCGGCAUCAGAGGACCCAAAGGCAGGGGGGGUCUGAGGGGUCCUGAUGGCCCUGUGGGGGCAAAAGGGUCCACUGGAGUAAAGGGCCCUGAUGGUCCACCAGGAAAAUUGGGCCUCCCCGGGGAGAUGGGAAGGCUUGGCGAGCCAGGUGAAGCUGGGCCUAAGGGAUUUCCAGGUAUUCAAGGACCCUCUGGAUCUCCAGGGGCCAAAGGAAUUGAAGGAGAGCCAGGACCAGCAGGGCCACCAGGAACGAUUGGGCCACUGGGGGAGAUGGGGCUAAGGGGUCUGCCGGGGAAGGCUGGAGACAGAGGACUGCCUGGUGAACCGGGAGAUAAGGGUGACGUUGGUCUACCUGGCAACAUCGGGGAGCAGGGUUUGAAUGGCCAGAGAGGUGAGCCAGGCAUUGAUGGGGAGGCUGGACUAAGUGGACCUGAUGGAGCCAAGGGUGACAAGGGGGAUGCUGGUCAAGAAGGCGGUAAAGGAGAAAGGGGUGAAAUCGGUCUGAAAGGAAAAGAAGGACCCCUUGGGCCUCCCGGAUUGGUCGGUGUGAGGGGUCAGGAGGGUAAACCUGGCAAAAUUGGUGAAAGAGGAAAACCAGGAGAAAAGGGGAGCAAAGGUCACCAAGGUCACCUGGGUCAGUCCGGGCCGACCGGCGAGCAGGGAGAGACGGGGUUUGUCGGACAGAAGGGAGCGAGAGGAACCAUCGGGCCAGUGGGUGCUCCGGGGAGAAUGGGCCAACAAGGAGAUCCAGGCAUAUCAGGUUACGAGGGUCACACGGGACCGCAGGGCCCCCUGGGACCUCCUGGGCCAAAAGGUGAAAAGGGUGAACAGGGAGACGACAGCAAGGUCGAAGGUCCUCCAGGUCCCCAAGGUGACAGAGGUCCUGCUGGAAACAGAGGAGACAGAGGAGAGCCUGGUGACCCCGGACACAUUGGUCAAAUAGGUGUUGAUGGAAAGAGAGGUGAAGCUGGUGCCCCAGGGCUUCCUGGACAUCCUGGACCAAAGGGACAACCAGGGCUGAAAGGACCCAAAGGUGACCAAGGUCGGAAAGGAAAAUCAGGGGCGAGAGGCACAUCUGGAACCAAAGGACCUCCAGGUCCAGAGGGUCCUCUCGGCCCACGGGGAGUUGUGGGCAGGGGGGGACUUGAGGGUCCGCCUGGCAUGGAUGGACUGCCCGGUAAAGAUGGAACUAAAGGAGUCAAGGGGGAGCAAGGAGAAGACGGAGCUGUGGGCUUAACUGGCAAACCUGGGCAGCAGGGUACAACUGGUGUGACGGGGCUUCCUGGAAGUCAAGGCUACUUUGGGCCAAAGGGUGAGAGGGGUCUUUCAGGCCAAACUGGUGCAUCAGGAAAAAAAGGCUUUAUUGGCGGGAUGGGAUUGCCAGGAAAACAAGGAGACCAGGGACCUAAAGGACAACCAGGGGAUGCUGGUGGACAAGGAUUUCCAGGGGUGUUUGGUCUGUAUGGACCAAAGGGACCCCUGGGAGACAUUGGCCCAGCAGGGAUACAGGGACCAAAAGGACCACGUGGUUUGUUGGGUAUGGAGGGAGCUUUGGGCCCCGUUGGCAUCAUUGGCCCCAGCGGUCAUUCUGGACCCAAGGGUGACAAAGGAAGUCGGGGGGAGACGGGGUUGCAAGGACCAAGGGGAUUUCGUGGCCCCAGUGGACCACCUGGACCACCAGGUCUUCCCAGUUCUGUCCUCUCACUUAGAAAUGAGGCUCUUGGUGCCGCCUUUCAAGUCAUCAUCGAUUCCCAUGCUGCAAUGAGGCCAGAGCAGAACUAUCAGAGCAUGGACCCACCCAUGUUAGACCAGGGCACAGAGAUCUUCAAGACCUUACAGCAUCUCAGCACCCUGAUCCAGAGUCUUAAGAACCCGCUGGGAACCCGUGACAACCCUGCACGGAUCUGCCGAGACCUGUACAACUGUGAACAGAGGAUGCACGAUGGCACUUACUGGAUCGACCCAAACCUCGGCUGCGCUGCUGACACUAUUGAGGUGAUGUGCAACUUCACUAGUGGAGGACAGACUUGCCUGAAGCCGAUCACAGUAUCCAAGUUGGAGAUGGGAGUGGGUCGUAUCCAGAUGAACUUCAUCCACCUUUUGAGCACCGAGGCCGUGCAGCACAUCACCAUUCACUGCCUCAACACACCUGUGUGGGCAGCAGGACCCUCCCUGCAACCUUCAUCCAGGGCUGUGAGCUUCAAGGCCUGGACGGGGGAGAAGAUUCAGGCAGGCGACCUCCUGGAGCCGCUCAUACCCCGGGACGACUGUUGGAUCAAAGAUGGCCGCUGGCAUCAGACCCACUUCAUCUUCCAGACCCAGGACCCAAACUUACUCCCCAUCGUGGACGUGUACAACCUGCCGACCGCAGACCCCGGCGCACGCUAUCACCUCGAGGUCGGACCCGUGUGCUUCUUAUAGGGGGCCCUGAGGAGGGGCCGAGAAUGCUCCUCAAAGGAGCGACUGCAUGGAGGAGGGUGGACGGAGGGGAGACUAACGCUUCUGUGGUUUCCACAACAACGGACCUCCAUUUUUCUCUCCGCAAAAUAUGCUUGGACUGCAGAACCAGGAGGGGGCGCCAGAGAGAGAAGGCCCCGUUGAGAAUGCAGAGACUUCUAGCACUAAUCAGCCUAUGGAAAAUAAUAAUAAGCUUCUUUUUUUCAGAGACUUGUUUUGUGUGAUACAAGACCUGAAUGCCCCUUUUUGGAAGGAAGUAUUAUGAUCUCUCGGACCAUGUUGUAUCAUAUUUUCUUCGCGGCCUGAUACCCUGAUAACCUAGAACGUUUUUAAAAAGUGAUCUGUACAGAAAUAUGGAACAGUUACAUCUGCAAUUGAAAUAAUUUGUAUUUUAAUGUUUAAGUAUUAUUUAUACAUGUAUAUGUACUGUAUAUUGUAAUAUAAAGUGCAAUAGUUAUUGUUCCACAGCCUUUAGGCAUAUACAGUUUCAACAUCAUAUCACUCAUUCAGGUAUACGGUGUGCCUCAGACACACAGGCGCGCUGUCUCCAGGUAAGUCUUUUUGAACCGACUGUCUAGUGCUGAGAGGCCCCGUGUUUUUAUACAGAUAUCCGUACACAAACAACUGCUGUGUGGUGCUGUCCGUGUUAAAAUGGAUCCCAGCUUUUCACAGUGUGAACCCGAGAAAAGUGUGUCAAGAUGCUACCUCGUACUGCACCUCUCAUCUCGCAGACAAAAACAAGAUGUUACCGGAUAUAAUCUGGGAUGACACGGAGGCGACACCUGGUGCUGCAACGGUUGACACUCGUAUGAUAAACUCUUGUCAGCUUCUCAGCAAAGCUACGUCUGCGCUUUUUUACCAAAAAAAGGGAAGGUUGUAAAAAAAUAUACACGCAGGCCAAAUUCAUUAAAUUAUAUUUUCAAGGUUUCAAGUAUUUUAAACGUUUUCAAUAUUCUUUGUACUGUCUGACACUAUAAGUUAAGUUUUUGUAUCUGUCAAAAUGUCUAUAAGUAUGCAACCUUUAUUAUCUACGUUGGAUUCUAUUUAAAUUUUAUUUAAAUUCUGAUUAGCUUUCCAGUUCAAAACCAGGCAUCAACGUCAUAUUUUUAGGAGCUUUAAGGAUUCUACAGUCUGUUUUUUUAUUCUAAUUAAAUCGUCCUAGACAAUCAACUGUAUUUACUGUUUAUGCAUUCGUCACUCAAAGGUGCAGCGAUGGCGGUUGGUCCGGCCAAUCUAUAAACUCAGAGGAUUUCUUACAACACACAACACUACCACAGUACAUGAGCUAACUGUUUGGUCUGUACAGACAUUUUAUGCUGCGUGAAUGAAGUCAAACGACUUAACAGGUAAUUCAAUAAAAGUCUGAAACAU